rnacentral:rRNA from 1 species
AUCAUUGCAUGCAUGGGUCAAUACGGUGUAUGAAAUUAAGUCUUGCUUGUCGUACCUAAUAAUACGGUAGGCUAAUUAAUUAAUAAGGCGAAGAAUCCUCUGGACUCUUCUCAUUUUGCAGUGCCGAGC